rnacentral:rRNA from 1 species
UGGGGAAUCUUAGACAAUGGGGGAAACCCUGAUCUAGCCAUGCCGCGUGAGUGAUGAAGGCCUUAGGGUUGUAAAGCUCUUUCAGCUGGGAAGAUAAUGACGGUACCAGCAGAAGAAGCCCCGGCUAACUCCGUGCCAGCAGCCGCGGUAAUACGGAGGGGGCUAGCGUUGUUCGGAAUUACUGGGCGUAAAGCGCACGUAGGCGGACUGGAAAGUUGGAGGUGAAAUCCUGGGGCUCAACCCCAGAACUGCCUUCAAAACUAUCAGUCUGGAGUUCGAGAGAGGUGAGUGGAAUUCCGAGUGUAGAGGUGAAAUUCGUAGAUAUUCGGAGGAACACCAAUGGGGAAGGCGGCUCACUGGCUCGAUACGGACGCUGAGGUGCGAAAGCGUGGGGAGCAAACAGG